UACGUAGGGUGCGAGCGUUUGUCCGGAAUUAUUGGGCGUAAAGAGCUCGUAGGCGGUGUGUCACGUCGGCCGUGAAAACCUGCAGCUUAACUGUGGGCGUGCGGUCGAUACGGGCAUCACUGGAGUUCGGCAGGGGAGACUGGAAUUCCUGGUGUAGCGGUGAAAUGCGCAGAUAUCAGGAGGAACACCGGUGGCGAAGGCGGGUCUCUGGGCCUUACCUGACGCUGAGGCGCGAAAGCGUGGGGAGCAAACAGG
rnacentral:rRNA from 1 species